rnacentral:rRNA from 1 species
AUGAGGGGUAGAGGAGAAAGUUUCAAUAUGUGGGAAGACGAGCUGUUGUGUGAUGCAUGGUUGGCCACUAGCCUCGAUCCGAUCCAUGGCACGGAGCAAAAACGACACAACGUUUUGGGCCAACAUUCAGACAUGGUUCCAUGA